GAUAUAGUUUGUAUCUUCUGGCAGGAAUAAGAAAGCAAAAAUAAAACAAGCCCUCACAAUUCUUGGCUAGAUGAAUCUUCCAGGGUUUGAUCCCCUGGCAAAGCUCUGUGGUUUGGCUUUCUCUCUUCUCUUAGGAUUGUGUGUAUGCCUCAUUUUCUUUGAUUUCAUAGCACUAUUUAUGUUUAUCUGCUAGCUUUUGUCUUAUUUGCCAGUUCCUUUUCCUUUUCAAGAUAAUUCAUUGACUUGACUACUAAAUAUUUUCAUUUCUAUACAGUCCAGUCAUUUCCUCAAUUUGCCAUCUUCAGAACAAGGGUCUAGUUUAUAACCCACCUCUUUUCCUUUGUCCCUCUUUCCUUACUCUUUCCGCAGUUCCCUUUUUUCCCUUUCACUCUGUCAUUCCUUGCUUCUAACUCUGCUCUUUAGAAAGCUUUUAUCCUCCAAGUGAAGCUCUCUUUUUGGUUUUCUUUCUUUCUCUCUCUCUUUUUUUCUUUCCUCCUGGCUUUUUUACAUUUUGGCUGUUAUUAAAAAUGCUCUUCUUGGUACAAUUAUUGCUAUUUACUUUUAUGUCUCAGGCAUUAGCUUGCCAUCAGUGACUGACACUCACAACUUGGUCAAAAUUUGGAAUUUCUGUUUCAUAAAAAAUUCCAACAUAACAUUUCAUUUCAUCAGGUAACCAUGUUGAAAUGAAUAUUAUUCAAGUGCUUUCUCAUCUUAUGGCUUUAGAGAACACUUCCUGAACUGUUAAUGAAACUGGAAAUGACAACGAUAUUGCCCAUUCUAUUUUCUUCAGCAAAAUGAAAUGUAUUUUUUUUCAGCUAAAGGUUUUUGUCAUUGAAAAAGGAAUUUUGGACCAAACCAGGGAAUUUUCUUCCUUGUCAGAAGGUUUAGCUUUCAUGAAAGAGCAUGGAAGAGGAAAGAAAUGACAGUAUAAGAUUGAGAAUCCAGGUGCUCUUGGCAGGUGGUGAGCUAUAUUAUUAUUAUUAUAAAUGCAAAUACUCACAAGCUAGAGAUUCAUUUGAGCCAAUAUGACUGUUAAGCACCAAAAAGACAGUUCCAGCCCCAAAGAUCCUGUAGUCAAAGACAAUAGACAACGCACUCAUAUUCAUUUAAUACAAAUUUCAGCAUCAAUUGUUUGAUUCAGUAGAUUUAGACUCUGAUGACUGUUUCAUGGCAGCACCCAUACGGCACUUAGUGCCAGUCUCA
rnacentral:lncRNA from 1 species